AGCUAUACAUGCAAGUCGAGCGGAUCGAUGGGAGCUUGCUCCCUGAGAUCAGCGGCGGACGGGUGAGUAACACGUGGGUAACCUGCCUGUAAGACUGGGAUAACUCCGGGAAACCGGGGCUAAUACCGGAUAACACCUACCCCCGCAUGGGGGAAGGUUGAAAGGUGGCUUCGGCUAUCACUUACAGAUGGACCCGCGGCGCAUUAGCUAGUUGGUGAGGUAACGGCUCACCAAGGCGACGAUGCGUAGCCGACCUGAGAGGGUGAUCGGCCACACUGGGACUGAGACACGGCCCAGACUCCUACGGGAGGCAGCAGUAGGGAAUCUUCCGCAAUGGACGAAAGUCUGACGGAGCAACGCCGCGUGAGUGAAGAAGGUUUUCGGAUCGUAAAACUCUGUUGUUAGGGAAGAACAAGUGCCGUUCGAAUAGGGCGGCACCUUGACGGUACCUAACCAGAAAGCCACGGCUAACUACGUGCCAGCAGCCGCGGUAAUACGUAGGUGGCAAGCGUUGUCCGGAAUUAUUGGGCGUAAAGCGCGCGCAGGUGGUUUCUUAAGUCUGAUGUGAAAGCCCACGGCUCAACCGUGGAGGGUCAUUGGAAACUGGGGAACUUGAGUGC
rnacentral:rRNA from 2 species